CUGACUUUGGUCACACAUAAUAAAAUUGGAAAGACACAAAGUAGAUUAAUAAGGCCCCUGCACGAAGAUGAGAUACAAUGUUGUGAAGCCUUACAUAAUAAA